rnacentral:lncRNA from 1 species
GGGGUUUCGCCAUAUUGGCCAGGCUGGUCUCGAACUCCCGACCUCAGGUGAUCCGCCCGCCUCGGCCUCCCAAAGUGCUGGGAUUACAGGCGUGAGCCACUGCGCUGGGCACUUUAAUUCUGUCUUUACUUUCUGAGAUAGUCUCGCUCGGACGCUCAGGUUGGACUGCAAUGGCGUGAUCUCAGCUCGCUGAAACUUCCACCUCCCGGAUUCAAGCGAUUCUCCCGUCUCAGCCUCCCGAGUAGCUGGGAUUAUUGACGCGCAGCACCACGCCCGGCUAAUUUUUGUGGUUUUUGUAUCUUCUGUCUUCUGCUCUUUAGUACCGCAUAGAGCCACAGAAGACUAGUGAGUCGAACAAACGGCCCCUCUUGCAGCAGUUGUUGAUCACAGGGCUGCCCCCGGUACUCAUCCUGUGUCUCUCGUCCAAAUCCCCGCUCCUCCCCAGCUAUCACCUCUGCCGAUGCUGGUGGUUUCCCUGGGUACCGGGAACCAAACUCUCAUUCCCCAGGAACCUAAGUCAGGGUUCCUGCACAUUCACAGUUAUGGGUGGCCCUGGGAGUAACACCUGGCACCCAAACAGAUCACCAGAGUCCACACAUAGUCCACCUGCCCUCCCUGCAUAAGAUCAGCUCUUCUUCCUCCCGAUGAUAGAUCAGGG